rnacentral:rRNA from 1 species
CCUACGGGAGGCAGCAGUGGGGGAUAUUGGACAAUGGGGGGAACCCUGAUCCAGCGACGCCGCGUGAGUGAAGAAGUAUUUCGGUAUGUAAAGCUCUGUCAGCAGGGAAGAAAGCAAUGACGGUACCUGACCAAGAAGCCCCGGCUAACUACGUGCCAGCAGCCGCGGUAAUACGUAGGGGGCAAGCUUGAUCCGGAAUUACUGGGGGUAAAGGGGGCGUAGACGGCUGUGCAAGUCUGGAGUGAAAGGCGGGGGACCAACCCCCGGACUGCUCUGGAAACUGUAUGGCUGGAGUGCAGGAGAGGUAAGCGGAAUUCCUAGUGUAGCGGGGAAAUGCGUAGAUAUUAGGAGGAACACCAGUGGCGAAGGCGGCUUACUGGACUGUAACUGACGUUGAGGCUCGAAAGCGUGGGGAGCAAACAGGAUUAGAUACCCGAGUAGUC